AUAGCAGAGCUUGUUCCUCACAACUGCCUUGUUAGGUUUUUCAGACUGGAUUGAAACGCAAAAGGUGGGAGGCCACUUAAAAAGAAAAGGGUCUAUUUUUGGAUGAGAAUCAACAUUCACCCUGACUUGACAGACCCUACUUACCUUAGUGACCGGGCGUGCUCCAGACUGGACCAAGAGUUUGGUCUCUUGUGGUUCCUGAUGACUGCGUAGCUAUCGCUGCGCCUUGGUGGAGCCGGCGCCCCCUUCAGGAUCUCGUAGGAGCUGUGGCUGGCUGCCGGGUCCCAUAUUGGACCCACACUGUGCCUGUUGGAAGCCGGUACACCACCGCUGCUGCCAUGAUCUCGGCUUAGCCCUGGCCUCUCCCCUACCCCGCCUUUGGAAUCGCUGUUACGUAGCAAUGCAGAGGAGGUGGAGCUCAACUCACGCUCUUGAGAUAAGCCCUGCUCGGCGUUGUAAACCAUCUGGACGUAACGCAUGUC